CAAUUUCUUAUUUCUCAACCUUUGAAUUGAAUUUACAGUUUUUUUUUUUGGUUCGAAUUGGGAAAUUAACUACUUUAAUUUGGGAUUCGGGAGAGGAAUACGCUAGCUUGAUUGAGUUGGUAUAUCUGAUCCUAAGUUUUAAUGAACGGCGGAUUCAUUCUUCUUCGUCUUCACUCCUCUAUACUAAACCCUAGAUCUAAGCUUUAGUUAUGCUCAAUUCACCGUAUCCCCUUUUAGUUUUUCAAUCUUCUCAUUUUGUUCUAAUAAUUUUGCCCAAAUUCUCGAUUUUCUACAGAUUCAAGCGACAAGCGUUUAAAUAUACGAACAACACCUAUAUUGCGACUAUAAAAAGAAGCGUUCGUCUUCUUUUCCCGCGCAAAAUCGCUUGAAUCCGGUUAAGGUCACCACUAAUCUCACCAGAGGCCAGGUAUACCUUUCCUCAAUUUUAAUUUUAAUUUUUUUUACUUUUUUUCUUCCGAUGAAAUUGUUGAUAGCACCCUAAAAAUGGGAGCUAUUUUGUCUGUAUAUUGGAACUUAGCUGUAGGAUAAAUUAGGUGUACUGUGGCUGUGAUUGAAUGCCAGUUUGUAAGCUAGGUCAUUGAGCUCAGGGAAAACUCUAGGGUCCAUAGAUUCUAUUUAUUUAGUUGAUACGUGCAAAUGAUUUCCCUUAGAUGACUGGAAAUUAUGAAUUAAUUGCUAUAUCAAUUCUGUUUUGAUCAAUCUAAUAUCAAUUGUGUAACCAAUAGAUUGAAGAUAUGAAUUAAUUGCUAUAUCAAUUCUAUUAAAUAUAUUUAUAUCAUGACUUCUUAAUAAUGCAAUAGCUACUCCAGACAGAAAUACAGGAGCCCCUUUAACCAAUAACCAUUACUUGAGAAAACCUGUUCAGUAGUCCUCUUAGCAAUAAUUUGACUACAUUUUUUAUUACAUGUAGGGAUUUUUUAAAAAUAUAUUUUUUUCCCCUAAGAAAAACACAUUAUGGUAUUUUGAGGCUUUGGGUUUGCUUUUCUCUCAAUUCUCCUUGGCUGCAGGGUAGUCCACG